UACAGAGGGGGCGAGCGUUGUUCGGAAUCACUGGGUGUAAAGGGUGCGUAGGCGGUCGGGUAAGUCUGUCGUGAAAUCUCCGAGCCCAACUCGGAAACUGCGUCGGAUACUAUUCGGCUAGAGGAAUGGAGGGGAGACUGGAAUUCUCGGUGUAGCAGUGAAAUGCGUAGAUAUCGAGAGGAACACCAGCGGCGAAGGCGAGUCUCUGGACAUUUCCUGACGCUGAGGCACGAAAGCCAGGGGAGCAAACGGG
rnacentral:rRNA from 1 species